AACGAACGCUGGCGGCAGGCUUAACACAUGCAAGUCGAACGCCCGUAGCAAUACGGGAGUGGCGGACGGGUGAGUAACGCGUGGGAACGUGCCCUGAGGUACGGAAUAACUGCGGGAAACUGCAGCUAAUACCGUAUGAGCCCCGCAAGGGGGAAAGAUUUAUCGCCUUAGGAGCGGCCCGCGUCGUAUUAGCUAGUUGGUGGGGUAACGGCUUACCAAGGCUUCGAUCCGUAGCUGGUCUGAGAGGACGAUCAGCCACACUGGGACUGAGACACGGCCCAGACUCCUACGGGAGGCAGCAGUGGGGAAUCUUGCGCAAUGGGGGCAACCCUGACGCAGCCAUGCCGCGUGAAUGAUGAAGGCCUUAGGGUUGUAAAGUUCUUUUGCCCGUGACGAUGAUGACGGUAACGGGAGAAUAAGCUCCGGCUAACUUCGUGCCAGCCGCCGCCGUAACAC
rnacentral:rRNA from 1 species